rnacentral:rRNA from 1 species
GAUGAACGCUGGCGGCGUGUUUAACACAUGCAAGUCGAGCGAAGCACUUGAACGGAUUUCUUCGGAUUGAAGUUUUUGUGACUGAGCGGCGGACGGGUGAGUAACGCGUGGGUAACCUGCCUCAUACAGGGGGAUAACAGUUAGAAAUGGCUGCUAAUACCGCAUAAGCGCACAGGACCGCAUGGUACUGGUGUGAAAAACUCCGGUGGUAUGAGAUGGACCCGCGUCUGAUUAGCUAGUUGGAGGGGUAACGGCCCACCAAGGCAACGAUCAGUAGCCGGCCUGAGAGGGUGAACGGCCAC